GUGCUUGCUUCGGCAGCACAUAUACGAAAAUUGGAACGAUACAGAGAAGAUUAGCAUGGCCCCUGUGCAAGGAUGACAUGUAAAUUUGUGAAGCGUUCCAUAUUUUU
rnacentral:snRNA from 1 species